CUGGCUCAGAACGAACGCUGGCGGCGUGGAUAAGACAUGCAAGUCGAACGAGAGAAUUGCUAGCUUGCUAAUAAUUCUCUAGUGGCGCACGGGUGAGUAACACGUGAGUAACCUGCCCCCGAGAGCGGGAUAGCCCUGGGAAACUGGGAUUAAUACCGCAUAGUAUCGAAAGAUUAAAGCAGCAAUGCGCUUGGGGAUGGGCUCGCGGCCUAUUAGUUAGUUGGUGAGGUAACGGCUCACCAAGGCGAUGACGGGUAGCCGGUCUGAGAGGAUGUCCGGCCACACUGGAACUGAGACACGGUCCAGACACCUACGGGUGGCAGCAGUCGAGAAUCAUUCACAAUGGGGGAAACCCUGAUGGUGCGACGCCGCGUGGGGGUAUGAAGGUCUUCGGAUUGUAAACCCCUGUCAUGUGGGAGCAAAUUAAAAAGAUAGUACCACAAGAGGAAGAGACGGCUAACUCUGUGCCAGCAGCCGCGGUAAUACAGAGGUCUCAAGCGUUGUUCGGAAUCAC
rnacentral:rRNA from 1 species